rnacentral:rRNA from 1 species
UCCUUUAAAGAAAGCGUAAUAGCUCACUGGUCUAGUGAUUUUGCGCGGAAAAUAUAACGGGGCUAAAGUAAGUACCGAAGCUGUAGACUUAGUUUACUAAGUGGUAGGAGAGCGUUCUAUUUGCGUCGAAGGUAUACCGGUAAGGAGUGCUGGAGCGAAUAGAAGUGAGCAUGCAGGCAUGAGUAGCGAUAAUUAAUGUGAGAAUCAUUAACGCCGUAAACCCAAGGUUUCCUACGCGAUGCUCGUCAUCGUAGGGUUAGUCGGGUCCUAAGUCGAGUCCGAAAGGGGUAGACGAUGGCAAAUUGGUUAAUAUUCCAAUACCAACAUUAGUGUGCGAUGGAAGGACGCUUAGGGCUAAGGGGGCUAGCGGAUGGAAGUGCUAGUCUAAGGUCGUAGGAGGUUAUACAGGCAAAUCCGUAUAACAAUACUCCGAGAACUGAAAGGCUUUUUGAAGUCUUCGGAUGGAUAGAAGAACCCCUGAUGCCGUCGAGCCAAGAAAAGUUUCUAAGUUUAGCUAAUGUUGCCCGUACCGUAAACCGACACAGGUGGGUGGGAUGAGUAUUCUAAGGCGCGUGGAAGAACUCUCUUUAAGGAACUCUGCAAAAUAGCACCGUAUCUUCGGUAUAAGGUGUGGUUAGCUUUGUAUUAGGAUUUACUCCGAAAGCAAGGAAACUUACAACAAAGAGUCCCUCCCGACUGUUUACCAAAAACACAGCACUCUGCUAACUCGUAAGAGGAUGUAUAGGGUGUGACGCCUGCCCGGUGCUCGAAGGUUAAUUGAUGGGGUUAGCAUUAGCGAAGCUCUUGAUCGAAGCCCGAGUAAACGGCGGCCGUAA